rnacentral:rRNA from 1 species
GGGCCCGCACAAGCGGUGGAGCAUGUGGUUUAAUUCGAAAAUACGCGCAGAACCUUACCAGCUCUUGACAUAUAAAUGGACUUCUUUGAGAGAAGAAGUUUUCAUGUUUAUACAGGUGUUGCAUGGCUGUCGUCAGCUCGUGUCGUAAGAUGUUGGGUUAAGUCCUUUAACGAGCGCAACCCCUAUGAAUAGUUGCUACUUUCUAUAAGAAAGGCACUCUAUUCAGACUGCUAGUGAUAAGCUGGAGGAAGGUGGGGAUGACGUCAAGUCCUCAUGGCCCUUAUGGGCUGGGCUACACACGUGCUACAAUGGUAAUGACAAAGGGAAGCAAUAACGCGAGUUGGAGCGAAUCCUUAAAGAUUAUCUCAGUUCGGAUUGCAGGCUGCAACUCGCCUGCAUGAAGUUGGAAUCGCUAGUAAUCGU